AACGCUGAGGUGUGAUGACGAGGCACUACGGUGCUGAAGUAACAAAUGCCCUGCUUCCAGGAAAAGCCUCUAAGCAUCAGGUAACACGAAAUCGUACCCCAAACCGACACAGGUGGUCAGGUAGAGAAUACCAAGGCGCUUGAGAGAACUCGGGUGAAGGAACUAGGCAAAAUGGUGCCGUAACUUCGGGAGAAGGCACGCUGAU
rnacentral:rRNA from 3 species